rnacentral:rRNA from 1 species
GUGUCAGCCGCCGCGGUAAUACGUAGGGUGCAGGCGUUAAUCGGAAUUACUGGGUGUAAAGCGUGCGCAGGCGGUUUGCUAAGACCGAUGUGAAAUCCCCGGGCUCAACCUGGGAACUGUAUUGGUGACUGGCAGGCUAGAGUAUGGCAGAGGGGGGUAGAAUUCCACGUGUAGCAGUGAAAUGCGUAGAGAUGUGGAGGAAUAUCGAUGGCGAAGGCAGCCCCCUGGGCCAAUACUGACGCUCAUGCACGAAAGCGUGGGGAGCAAACAGGAUUAGAUACCCCCGUAGUCC